rnacentral:lncRNA from 1 species
CAUAUGGAUUAUUUCGAUCAAGAUUUUACUGAAUUGAAACACACGGAUACAUUAACUCCUACUUAUUCGGAGGGAUCAAUUCCAUCGACUCACACACCGACUUCGCAAGUAAUUGACUAUGCCCAAAAAUCUUUCAUCACUGAAUUAAAAAUUCAGAUAGUCUGGCAUCAAAGCAUAGUGAGCUAUUUGCAAGUCACCGUGGUGA